GACGAACCGUCCAAACGUUAUUCGGAAUCACUGGGCUUAAAGGGCGCGUAGGCGGCCGAGCGGGUCGUGGGUGAAAUCCUCCAGCUUAACUGGAGAACUGCUUACGAUACCACUGCGGCUCGAGGAAGGAAGGGGCAAUCGGAACUGUCGGUGGAGCGGUGAAAUGCGUUGAUAUCGACAGGAACGCCGGUGGCGAAAGCGGAUUGCUGGUCCUUUUCUGACGCUGAUGCGCGAAAGCCAGGGGAGCAAACGGGAUUAGAUACCCCGGUAGUCCUGGCCUUAAACGAUGAGAACUAGGUAGUGGGUCCGACCUGGGCACACUGCCGAAGCGAAAGUCUUAAGUUCUCCGCCUGGGGAGUAUGGUCGCAAGGCUGAA
rnacentral:rRNA from 1 species